CGGGACAAGAGAUAACGAGGCAGGGAAUGCAGUUGAGAGUCCUUCGUGACAGUUGACCUAUGAAACGAUGAGGACCCAGCAUUUGACAAGGGCAGUGACUGCGGAGACAAGAACGCUGGCAAAUAAUAUUGGCAGGACUCAGUGAACCAUCUAUGUAAGGAGGUGAGAGAUAAGAAGGACCUCAAGAUGGAGUUCAUUUUUUUUCUGGCCCAGGUGGAUGGAAGAGAGGAUGUACAAGUGGAGAAGAUGUCUGAGUAAGGAGUCUGGUGAAGCUCACUGUGCAAAUUUGUAUCCAGCCCAAACUACCGAUUCAGCUGAACUAACUUGUGACGAGAAAAAAUCUUUUGAGUUUCUGCAAAAGUGGCUAACUAACCCAAGUGAUCGAUGAGAAAGGAAAGCUCAAUGGAAUGCAAAGUCUGCCCUCCAUUUUCUCACCAAAACACAAAACCUCAGCAAGGAUGAAGUUAAAGGAGAUGGAAGGACAGUACUUUUAGAUUUAAAUGGUGUGUGUGUGUUUUAUAUUUUAAAUAGUUUUUUAAAUCAAGUUCUUCCUUUGUGAUGUUUAGAAGCAUCAAACCAUUCCAACACUUAGAAAUUAAUUGUACUAGAGGAUCAUGUGCAUGCUAAUUAUUGGUUGCUACAGAAACAGACUGGAUUUCCUAGAACUAUGUCAAUUUCAUGUAAUCUUGUUGUUUUCAAAAAAGCCCAUUUAUGAAAUGCACAUAUGUGAUUUGAUUAAAUCAUUUUGUAAG
rnacentral:lncRNA from 1 species